rnacentral:rRNA from 1 species
AUUGAACGCUGGCGGCAUGCUUUACACAUGCAAGUCGAACGGUAACAGGGAGCUUGCUCCGCUGACGAGUGGCGAACGGGUGAGUAAUGCGUCGGAACGUGCCGAGUAGUGGGGGAUAACGCAUCGAAAGGUGUGCUAAUACCGCAUACGAACUGAGGUUGAAAGUGGGGGACCUUCGGGCCUCACGCUAUUCGAGCGGCCGACGUCUGAUUAGCUAGUUGGUGAGGUAAAGGCUCACCAAGGCGACGAUCAGUAGCGGGUCUGAGAGGAUGAUCCGCCACACUGGGACUGAGACACGGCCCAGACUCCUACGGGAGGCAGCAGUGGGGAAUUUUGGGCAAUGGGCGCAAGCCUGAUCCAGCCAUGCCGCGUGUCUGAAGAAGGCCUUCGGGUUGUAAAGGACUUUUGUCCGGGAGCAAAUGCCUGGUGUUAAUAGCAUCGGGAGCUGAGAGUACCGGAAGAAUAAGCACCGGCUAACUACGUGCCAGCCGCCGCAGUAAAAC